AAGGAUCAUUAUAGUGUUCGCUGCCCUCGCGGGUAGCAAGCCUCACCCGUGUAUAUUAUAUCUUUGUUGCUUUGGCAUGCCGCCUUCGGGCACUGGCUUCGGCUGGCUCGUGUGUGUCAGAGGCCUUAAAACUCUGAAUGUUAGUGUCGUCUGAGUACUAUUUAAUAGUUAAAACUUUCAACAACGGAUCUCUUGGUUCUG
rnacentral:misc_RNA from 1 species